GCGGGCGUGGUCUAGGGGUUAUGACACGAGCUUCCCAAGCUUGUUGCCCGGGUUCAAAUCCCGGCGCCCGCA
rnacentral:tRNA from 1 species